UGGGGAAUAUUGGACAAUGGGCGAAAGCCUGAUCCAGCCAUGCCGCGUGUGUGAAGAAGGCCUUUUGGUUGUAAAGCACUUUAAGUGGGGAGGAAAAGCUUGUGGUUAAUACCCAUAAGCCCUGACGUUACCCACAGAAUAAGCACCGGCUAACUCUGUGCCAGCAGCCGCGGUAAUACAGAGGGUGCAAGCGUUAAUCGGAAUUACUGGGCGUAAAGCGCGCGUAGGUGGUUAUUUAAGUCAGAUGUGAAAGCCCCGGGCUUAACCUGGGAACUGCAUCUGAUACUGGAUAACUAGAGUAGGUGAGAGGGGAGUAGAAUUCCAGGUGUAGCGGUGAAAUGCGUAGAGAUCUGGAGGAAUACCGAUGGCGAAGGCAGCUCCCUGGCAUCAUACUGACACUGAGGUGCGAAAGCGUGGGUAGCAAACAGGAUUAGAUACCCCGGUAGUCCACGCCGUAAACGAUGUCUACCAGUCGUUGGGUCUUUUAAAGACUUAGUGACGCAGUUAACGCAAUAAGUAGACCGCCUGGGGAGUACGGCCGCAAGGUUA
rnacentral:rRNA from 1 species